CCUACGGGGGGCUGCAGUCGAGAAUCAUUCACAAUGGGGGAAACCCUGAUGGUGCGACGCCGCGUGGGGGAAUGAAGGUCUUCGGAUUGUAAACCCCUGUCAUGUGGGAGCAAAUUAAAAAGAUAGUACCACAAUAGGAAGAGACGGCUAACUCUGUGCCAGCAGCCGCGGUAAUACAGAGGUCUCAAGCGUUGUUCGGAAUCACUGGGCGUAAAGGGUGCGUAGGCUGUUUCGUAAGUCGUGUGUGAAAGGCGCGGGCUCAACCCGCGGACGGCACAUGAUACUGCGAGACUAGAGUAAUGGAGGGGGAACCGGAAUUCUUGGUGUAGCAGUGAAAUGCGUAGAUAUCGAGAGGAACACUCGUGGCGAAGGCGGGUUCCUGGACAUUAACUGACGCUGAGGCACGAAGGCCAGGGGAGCGAAAGGGAUUAGAUACCCGUGUAGUC
rnacentral:rRNA from 1 species